GAGCCCUGGGGAGCCCACACACUAAAACUGGAAUGACACACAGAGGAUCAGCACGGUCCCAGAGCAAGCAAGGGUGACACGGAACUUCAUGAAGCAGUCUCUAUUUUU